UCCAUUCCUGCAUCAAUCCCUCCAUCCCUCCACCCACCCACCAGCCUCUAUUUUCCACCAUCAGAAUCUGGUUCUGUAUUCUGCACAAGCUUGGGGGCUCAGUAGAUAUUGGCUGAGUUGAACAGAUCAGCAUUCCCACUGCCAAUGAUGGCAGGAGAUAUUUAUUCAUAGUUGGUGCUGGGUCAGUCAGUGACUUCGCUUUCUCCAAAGACACUGGCACCAAAUAUUUGAAGUAGGGACACACUGGACACUGAAGCCAAUACCUGAUGAGGCUUUCAAGGUGCCUGGUGCAGUUCUGAGUUUUGGGGGAUGGUGCGUUUCUGGGAUCUGGCUUGGGUCUGUGAUGGAGGCAAAGCUCCUCCGAUAGCGAGAUGGAGUGUGUGUUGGCUGCAGUCUGUGCGCUGUCGUGAACCUGCCUCUUCCCUGAGGCAUCCUGUGCUUUUCUGGUGUUCACUGCUGAGCUCUUUGCCUGGCUGUGGGCCGCUGUCGAUCCCAUGGAGAGGUGCGUUCCUGGCGCUGCGUGGUGUGGUUUCAGGUGACCUCCUGCCUCCUUCCCAUCUCACCCUGGGCCUUCUUCCGUCUCUCGUUCUUUCUGCCCGCUUCCAGCUGCCCCUGUGCUGCCGACGCCCUGCCCUGGCACCCAGCCUUCCUCUGCCCUGUGACCCUGCACCGCUGCGCUCCAGCGAGAGCCUCUGCCUGUCCUGCUGCCUCUGCCAGGAAGCUGCCGUGGCGCCCGCAGGCCCUGUGAGCCGCCUCCCCUGCCCACACCCAAGAACAAGUGAGUGCCGCAGGUGUGCUCGGGCGCAGGAUCCUACAACCCCUCUGUGAGAACCGGCAGGAGCAGGAGAAUCUGUGCGCCCAUGAAGCAGAGGCGCAUCUGGCCGAGGCCGCUGGCCCAGGAACAGGGCGGCUGCCGGGGGCCUCACUUUCCGUCUGGGGCGAGCAGAGCGUGCUAGCCAGGGCUGAGGCGUGGUGGCCGCACCUGCCUACGGGUCGGACUCUUGGCGUCUGCGGAUGUGUGGCACCCAAACUCAGUGCAGUUCUUAUGAAGCCCAAGCGAGGUCCUCUGAAGAGGUGGGGCCCCUUAUGAGAGAAAGAUACUCAGGGGCGCAGAGUCCUUCUGUGGCCUCCAGAAAUGGGAGACCCUGCUUCCGGCGCCUGUGCUUCGACAGGGAAUUCCCUGAAGCUUCCAGAGGAGCGCAAGGUGCAAGCCCAGAAGGAACUGGAACCGGGCCAGGGUCGCCCUUUUUCUUUGUCAGAGCCCUGUCGAAAGGUUGCAAGGUGCAUCCGAGCGUGACUAGUUUGGAUUGGUUGUUGGCCUUGCUCUGAAACAGGCUCUCACUAAAUUGCCCAGGUUGGCCUUGAACUCACGAUCCUCCUGCCUCAGCUUCCCAAGUGCUAGGAUUACAGAUGUAUACCUCCGGGGCCCAACUAAGCUGUUUGCUUUUUAAUCUACCUAAGAAUGACUCUUGUCCUUACACACAGAUCCGCUAUGAACGUGAUGAAAUGUGCAAACACUUCAUAUCUCCCAAGGCAGCUCACACGGCAAGGAGAGGAAACCCUCCCCUCGGCGAGUUGAGACCAGUUUGCAUAGCGGCCUGAGCGGAGUCGCCCAGGCCUCCUGCUGCCCUGGCACACCACACCCACGUCCUCUGCACAGGCCCAGUCUCGAGACUGGGGCUCCAGACCCUGGAGGGCAGCAGGCGGGGCAGGGAGGAAGGAGACAGGAGGGAGGAGGGGCAGGGUUAGGGGCACCAUGCCACCCGGCUCCCAACACCUGGAUUUCAAAGUGCCACCAUAUUUUGCUGUGGUCCUAACCUGACGUGCCAGGGCCAUCCGCGACAUUCCUUUCCCUGCUAGACAAAUACGCUUGUGUACCGGAGCCUGCCAGGAAGUGAAGAAACCCCGGCCCGCCCAGGGCCGCCUCCUCCCGCCUGGCAGCUGCACGGGGCCUCGGGCUGCGCCCUGUGACUCCUUCCCGGAAAGCGGAGGGAGUGGCCAGCACGCUGGGCUCAGGCUCCUCUUGGAAUCCCUGGGCCGCUGCACCUCGCUUGCUGCACACAUGCAGGGGACUGCACACACCCGGGGGACGAGGCCGGGGGUCUGCCGGGGCCUGGGGUGGGCAGGGGAGGCGAGGGAGGAGGGGACAGAGGCUCCCAUCCUGGAGAAGAUUCGGGGGAAUCAGAGGUGGAAUGUGAGCAUUCUGACGAGAACUUCCUUCCCCAGAACAUUUUUCUUAGAAAAGUAAGGACCACUAUGAGGGGCCCACAUCCUUCCGCACAGCCAGAGAACAGCUGCGGGGGAUCUCAGGCCCCGCAACAGCAGAGGAAGGCUGCGUGCCUCUUCGGUGCUGGAGCUCAUGAGGCUGAGGGCGUCCUGAGGUGAGGGAGGUGGCCCUCUCACCCUGCUGGGCGCUGUCUCUACAGCCCCUCUCUCCUCACAGCCCCCUGACGGUUCCAAAGGCGCCACUCCAGGAAAGGGAAGAGCUUUCCUCCUCCAGCUUGGGAUCUGAAAGUCCAAAUCCUCAAGAAGCCCCAAGAUUCCUGCACAGACCGGAGGUGUGAGGCGGUGGUGGGCAAAGGGCCUGCCUGGGCAUGGGGGAGGGGCUUGCGGAGGUGAAUCCACAACAGAGGUGUCCUGCACUGGCAAGAACCCCUGGGCAGUGGCAGAUGCCAAGCAACUUCUGUGGGCGCCAGGCUCUGCAGGGACCUGCACACGUUUCCGGGUACACUGCUGGAGAGGAGUAAGACCCCGGAGAGGAAAUGCAGCAGGAAGCAGGGGAGGAAGGCUCUGACCGCAUUUCCAGUGCUGAGUCCGUGCUUCCAGGAGGGACAUGGAGCAGGAGGGACCCUACAAGGACAUUGAUUGUUCCCUCCAAAUAUGUUGGAACCAGGUCAAGUUUCAAGAGUUUGACGCAGCUUCAGGCAAAGGGGAGGGAAAAGCAAACGCAGCUUCAGGCAACUAGCUGCCAUAUUCAUCAACUUUCCAUCACUGUGACAAAGUACCUGAGACCAACACCCUAAAGGAGCAGAGGUUCAUCUUGGUUCACGGUUUUGCAGGGUCCAGUCCACAGUCACUGACUCCAUUGUUCCUGGCUCUGUGUUCAGUCUGCACCGGGGAGUCCUCCUCCUUCUGCUUCUGUUCCACCUGGUCUCGCUAUGCGACAGUGCCACCCACAUUCUGGGUGAGUUCCCCCCACCCAUGUGUCACCUCACAGGCCAGUCGUCCCUGGGAACCCCUUUACAGAUACAGCCGGAAGUGGGUUGGCUGGUUUUCUAGGCAUCUCUCCAUCCAACCAAGGUGACAAUCAACAUUAACAACCACCAUGCUGAAGCAGAAAUGGAACCCUAGAACCCUGCUUUCCUGGGUGGAGGACUGAGAUGGCUCCUCGCUUGCUUGCCUGGUGUUGCUAUUUCAGUAAAGAUUGACACCGCCUAUGAAGCAUCUCUGGACCCUCCAUUGCCCAGGCCCUUUGGGAUACCAGUUGGGUAAAGAUGGGCAGAUGUCAUGACAGUUUCUCCAGGAAGGCUGUAUGCACGGCUUCCCAGGCCCUGCACAUUGGGAGCAGAGACCUGUUCAGCCCCUAGAGAGGGUCCAGGUGAGCGCUUCAGGUGGACAAUGGGAAGCCAGGAGGGAGGACAGGUUGACUUCCCUACAGCUCCACUCCGGUCAGCUGUGAGGAGCAAGGGAAACUUCUGGGCCUGAGUCAGCUUGGGUCCACACAUCCCUAUAACCGCCAAAGGCUUGGGGCUGUGGUCCCGUUCUGUGUGUGUGAGACUCAGCUUUCUGUUACUGCGACAAGAUACUUUCGAUGAUCACUUCAUAGGAGGACAGUUUAUCUUGGCUCAAGGUUUCCGUUCACCUGGGCCUGUGGAGAAGCGUCCAGCAUGGUGGAGGCACUCGGAAACCGCUCACCUCAGGGCAGUCAGGAAGUGGAGAGGCAGGAGGGCCUGUCCCUGUGUCCCUUCAAGGGCUGCCCCAGUGACUCAGCUUUUCCCACUGGGCCCCACCUCUCAAAAGCCCCAGGGUCUCCACAUAGCUCCACAGCGUGGGGUGGGGCCACGAACACACAGGCCUUGGAGAGCAUCGCAGAUCCAGCUCUCCCAGUGGGCCUGGGCUUGCCUCUUCUACCAUCACCUGUGCCCUGGGAACCCUGGCCUUUGGGCUUGGCACACACCGUCUGGGUGCCUCUCCACGGGUGCAUGCGGAUCAAGUCCAGGGGAGCAGGUGGCACCGAUGGACCUUCUAGAAACCCUUGGGGUCCUUCCCAGAAUGUGCUAUGGGUGCCCCCUCCACGGCCACAAGCGGGUGGGGCAGAGCUGGAGGCCCUCAGGGCCUGCGGGUGAAUUAUGGAGAAGUUUGGACAGCGGCUGCCCUGAAGCACCGGGUGAGAUGCUGUUUCCCAGCCCUGCAGUGCCACGAGGGACGGGCGGCGGUUGGUGCCACGUACCCUGAACACCUGCCCGAGGCCCACAGACUUCAAACUUCCUCUGGGGGCUGGGGGCUUAGGGCAGCCAGCAGCAUCCCCCACGAAUUUAAUAAAGUGCUCUGGUUUUGUA